rnacentral:lncRNA from 1 species
AUAAUGUCUCUCUCUAGAAAGGAAAAGAAAAAAAAGAAAAAGUUUGUCAGUAAAAAAAAGAAAAAGUUUGUCAGUAAAAAAAAAGAAAGAAGACAAAACACAUUGCCUUAAUAUACUCUCUCCUUCCCGUUUUCAAACGGACACAAUUUUCCCAUUGAUUACACUCACAUUUAAAAGACCCUCUUUAUCUCUCAACUCUCUCAUACAGAUCCUGAGAAAAUAACAACAAGCAACCUACCACCACACAUUUGAUUCACCAUCCUCUUCCAAUUUGAAACUCCCCCGCAUUGAUUACACCUCUGACCACCUUCGUUCCUCUUCUUCUCUCCGUAGCCGCUUCAACAACCACCUCUCUCACACUUUCGCCGUGAACCCGCCUUCAAAACCUCUCAACCCUCGAACCGUCACCUCCUCCGAUUCACCAACCACGAACCGUCCAACAAACCACCACGUGUUCAUUUUUUUGCUGAAAGAAUAUAGACAGCUAUUAGUUACACAAGCGAAAGCGAAUUUUCGCGCAAGAGUUAACUCGGCUUUGCUACACACCGACAAACCGUUUGUGGUAACAACUUUUGACAUCACGGUAACGACGUGAAUUUUAUCUACAUUUUUAUUAUAUUGUCUUGAUUUUGUGGUGGUAUUGGUGUUUCUUGCGGUUAAUGAUUGGAUUUCGUAAAGGUGUUAACGUUUCUUGCUGCUAGUAUCAUUUUCAUUGUUGACUCUUUUGAUAGUUUAAAUGUGUAGGCUAUACUUUUCAUGUCCGACUGUAUCGAUUUUUUUGGAAAUUUUUUAUAUUAAGCUAGGGAUUUAGUAAUCACUUGCGUAUUCCCGUGGGUUUUGUUUGCAUUGUUGUGUAUAAAUUCGGCUAUCAGUUACCGUUCGAUUACACUGUGUUUGAGUUGGAUUUGGAUGUUGUGAUAUCAAUAUUAAUGCAAUGUUAAGUAUACUUUAUAUUAAGUUUCCUUGGCUUAAACCGUUGAC